ensembl:antisense Gm17344 predicted gene, 17344
GUCAGCCUGGCGAGGCCGGAGUAGAAUUGUGGGAGGCUGGCGCCACUGCAGGCGGAGUAAGCCUCUGCUGCGCUCCACCCUGAGCUCCUAGGACCAGGGCGCAGGGAGAGCAAUUUGGUACUUUCUGGAUCCUCCAAGAAGCGGCCAGAGGAAGUGACAGGGUCACGUGUGGGAAAGGAAUGACUGAAAUGUGCGCGCGUAGUCACAGAAACGAAGAGAUUCCUCCUUUAAGCUGCAAGGCCGAGUGAGAAGAGAACUAAUGCUCCUAGAAACUAAGAAGGCACGCUGAAGCUUUCAAAGAUCCAAUCACAGGGGACAGUCUUCACAACCGUCAGCAUCCUAGGCAGGCAUCUGGCUGCUAGUCCGUCAGUAUGGUGUUCAGGUCGUCUCCCAAAUGAACUCCAUAUCUACACAGCACCCUUUGUGUUAAGGCCAUGAUUUUUUUUUUCCUUCUCGAUAAAGCCAUGGAUGAUUGUAAAUGCUACCUCCAAACUCAUCACCCGGGCUGAGGCUUUGUCCACAGAGGAGAUCUUUCCAGCUCCAUCGGCUAGCACUUGGUCUUGAGCAGAUUUCUUCAGAUUCAACUCAGUUCAACAACAACAACAACAAAAAGCAACCAAAAAACCUGAGCUGGUUAGCUACAAAUGGAGAAAAUAAAGCCUCCACACAAAAAAGGAAUGUUAAGACAAAAUUCUAUUCAAGAAAUCCACCAAUACAGCAUUAAUCCUAUCACGUUUCACAGCAUUAACUAUGCAUCCAAUGAAAUCCGUCUGCAGGAAAUCCUAACGGCUCCCACUGAUCAGGCAGAGCGGCUGUCUAAAGUCUGCACUUGUCCACACCUGUUUUGCUGAACACAGGAGAAAUAUCCUGUUUGUAACUCAGAUGUCCAUUUACCCAGUCAAGUAAAUUUCAGUAAAUCUUGCUCUUACAGGACUAUUAAGACCAGAAACUUUCCCUUUUGGAGCCUUUAGUUCAACUCCAGUUUGUCAAUGUUAGGAAUAGUCUAGCAUCUGAUACAGAGCUAGGUUUGACAAGACACUGAAGAAUUUAAGUAAAGGCGUGGUGAAAUGGAGCAGGGAGAAAGGGAGAUUUGUAUCAAGAGUUAAAACUGAAGCCAAAGUGUCGUCUUACUGCAUAAUACAGUAACAACUGCAAACGC